UGUGACUGUAUUUGGAGAUAGCAUAUUUAAAGAGGUAAUUAAGUUAGAAUGAGGUUAUUAGGGUAGGCCCUAAUCUGACUGAUGUCCUUCUAAGAAGAGGAAAUUAGGACACAGAGACAGACACGUGGAAGAAAUGUCAUGUGAAGACAGUGAGAAGACAGCUGUCUAUAAACCAAGAAGAGAGGCUUCAGAAGAAACCCGCCCUGUGAACACUUUAAUCUCAGACUCCUAUUCUUCAGAACUUUGGUUUUUGAGUCUCCAGCUUCACCUCUCAACUCCUGCCACUUUAUGGAACACCCUCAGUGCCCAGGGGUCUCUUGUCCUUGGUCCUGGUUCUCCCUGGGCUGCCUUGGAGUUUCUAGCAUCAUCUGAACAAGUGGAGUAGAAGUGGCUCUAAUUGGCAGGCCAAAUGAUCUCUGUUCUAUCAGAAUCUAACCCAACUAGCCCCAGAGUCCACUGGAAGGAGUGGGAAGGGGAUGCCAGAAAGCCUGGGCAUGCAGGGGAAGUUGUGCCUGCUGAAGUCUGCCUGCUGGGGCUGUAUAGUGGACCCAGUGGGAGAUGACUGAAUUAUCGGGAUGGGUCUUUCCCGUACUGUUCUGGCAGUAGUGAACAAGUCUCCAGAGAUCUGAUGGUUUGAUAAGGGGAAACUCGUUUCACUUGGUACUCAUUCUCUCUUUGCCUGCUGCCAUCCAUGCAAGACGUGACUUGCUCCUCCUUGCGUUCCACCAUGAUUGUGAGGCUUCCCCAGCCACGUGGAACUGUAAG
rnacentral:lncRNA from 1 species